GGGAGUGGGAAGCCAGGGCACAGUAAGGAGAGCUGCACAUCGGUCAGAGGGGCCCCAGCGUCUGAGCCCUGUCCUCCUGUAGG
ensembl:miRNA